rnacentral:lncRNA from 1 species
GGAAUUUCAACUUCUGAGAAGUUGAAGUAUGUACUUUUCACUAUUCUUCCCACUAGGAACAAUUAAAACCCCUGCAAAUUACAUAUGAAACAAGUUUAAGAGGACUUUGAGAGAUGAAGAAAAGCAGGCAGACCAGCCAGGGACCUUGCAGCCUGAAGAAGGACAGGAAGCUUGGUAGACACUUGUGCACUGUAUGAGUCCGUUUUCAUGCUCCUGAUAAAGACAUACCCCAGACUGAGAAGAAAAAGAGGUUUAAUUGGACUUACAGUUCCACAUGGCUGGAGAGGCCUCAGAGACAUGGUGGGAGGCAAAAAGCACUUCUUACAUAGCGGCAACAGGAGAAAAUGAGGAAGAAGCAAAAGCGGAAACGCUGAUAAACCCAUCAGAUCAGGUGAGACUUAUUCACUAUCAUAAUGGCACAGGAAAGAAGUGACCACAUGAUUCAAUUUCCUCCCGCUGGGUCCAUCCCACAACAAGUGGGAAUUCUGGGAGAUACAAUACAAGUUGAGAUUUGGGUGGGGACACAGCCAAUCCGUAUCAUGCACUGUGUACAUAAUUAGAUGUUUGACCAAAUUUUUUUAAAAAUGGCUAUACAGAGAAAGACUUGUAGUAAUUAAUCUGGUAAUUAUGAGCCCAGGUUUUAGGGUCAAAUUUCAGUGUUUAAAUCCUUGAUCCACCAUUUAACAUUUGGGCAAAUUGGGAAAGUUAUAUAACCUUUCUAACAUCUACAUUAUUAAAGUACAAUUAAUUUAAAUAAUAUUUUAUAGUCAUUAUUAUUUCAUAAUGGCC